AUGAACGCUAGCUACAGGCUUAACACAUGCAAGUCGAGGGGCAGCAUGGUCUUAGCUUGCUAAGGCCGAUGGCGACCGGCGCACGGGUGAGUAACACGUAUCCAACCUGCCGUCUACUCUUGGACAGCCUUCUGAAAGGAAGAUUAAUACAAGAUGGCAUCAUGAGUCCACAUGUUCACAUGAUUAAAGGUAUUCCGGUAGACGAUGGGGAUGCGUUCCAUUAGAUAGUAGGCGGGGUAACGGCCCACCUAGUCUUCGAUGGAUAGGGGUUCUGAGAGGAAGGUCCCCCACAUUGGAACUGAGACACGGUCCAAACUCCUACGGGAGGCAGCAGUGAGGAAUAUUGGUCAAUGGGCGAGAGCCUGAACCAGCCAAGUAGCGUGAAGGAUGACUGCCCUAUGGGUUGUAAACUUCUUUUAUAAAGGAAUAAAGUCGGGUAUGGAUACCCGUUUGCAUGUACUUUAUGAAUAAGGAUCGGCUAACUCCGUGCCAGCAGCCGCGGUAAUACGGAGGAUCCGAGCGUUAUCCGGAUUUAUUGGGUUUAAAGGGAGCGUAGAUGGAUGUUUAAGUCAGUUGUGAAAGUUUGCGGCUCAACCGUAAAAUUGCAGUUGAUACUGGAUAUCUUGAGUGCAGUUGAGGCAGGCGGAAUUCGUGGUGUAGCGGUGAAAUGCUUAGAUAUCACGAAGAACUCCGAUUGCGAAGGCAGCCUGCUAAGCUGCAACUGACAUUGAGGCUCGAAAGUGUGGGUAUCAAACAGGAUUAGAUACCCUGGUAGUCCACACGGUAAACGAUGAAUACUCGCUGUUUGCGAUAUACAGCAAGCGGCCAAGCGAAAGCGUUAAGUAUUCCACCUGGGGAGUACGCCGGCAACGGUGAAACUCAAAGGAAUUGACGGGGGCCCGCACAAGCGGUGGAGUAUGUGGUUUAAUUCGAAGCAACGCGAAGAACCUUACCUGGUCUUGACAUCCUUCUGACCGGUCCUUAACCGGACCUUUCCUUCGGGACAGGAGAGACAGGUGGUGCAUGGUUGUCGUCAGCUCGUGCCGUGAGGUGUCGGCUUAAGUGCCAUAACGAGCGCAACCCUUGUUGUCAGUUACUAACAGGAUUUGCUGAGGACUCUGACAAGACUGCCAUCGUAAGAUGUGAGGAAGGUGGGGAUGACGUCAAAUCAGCACGGCCCUUACGUCCGGGGCUACACACGUGUUACAAUGGGGGGUACAGAGGGCCGCUACCACGCGAGUGGAUGCCAAUCCCCAAAACCUCUCUCAGUUCGGACUGGAGUCUGCAACCCGACUCCACGAAGCUGGAUUCGCUAGUAAUCGCGCAUCAGCCACGGCGCGGUGAAUACGUUCCCGGGCCUUGUACACACCGCCCGUCAAGCCAUGGGAGCCGGGGGUACCUGAAGUGCGUAACCGCGAGGAGCGCCCUAGGGUAAAACUGGUGACUGGGGCU
rnacentral:rRNA from 1 species